rnacentral:rRNA from 1 species
UGUUAAACCGGAGGAAGGUGGGGAAGANGUCAAGUCCUCAUGGCCCUUAUGUCUAGGGCUACACACGUGCUACAAUGGUAGUUACAAAGGGAUGCCAAGCCGCAAGGUGGAGCUAAUCCCAUAAAAGCUAUCUAAGUUCAGAUUGAUCUCUGCAACUCGAGAUCAUGAAGUUGGAAUCGCUAGUAAUCGCGGAUCAGAACGCCGCGGUGAAUACGUUACCCGGGCCUUGUACACACCGCCCGUCACACCAUGAAAGUCGGCUG